UUCCGUAAACAAAAUUAUUCGCCAGAGUACUACUAGCAACAGCUUAAAACUCAUAGGACUUGGCGGUGCUUUAUAUCCUUCUAGAGGAGCCUGUUCUAUAAUCGAUAAACCCCGAUAAACCUCACCAAUUCUUGCUAAUACAGUCUAUAUACCGCCAUCUUCAGCAAACACA
rnacentral:rRNA from 1 species